AUUUAAGUCUACGGCUGUAUCACCCUGACUGCGCCUGACCUCAGAAGCUGAGCGGGGUCGAGUCUGCUUAGUGCUUAGCUGGGGGAAGUUAAAAUAAAGAUGAUUUAAAAU
rnacentral:rRNA from 1 species